GAUGAACGCUAGCUACAGGCUUAACACAUGCAAGUCGAGGGGAAACGAUAGAGAAAGCUUGCUUUUUCUAGGCGUCGACCGGCGCACGGGUGAGUAACGCGUAUCCAACCUGCCCAUCACUUGGGGAUAACCUUGCGAAAGUAAGACUAAUACCCAAUGACGUCUCUAGAAGACAUCUGAAAGAGAUUAAAGAUUUAUCGGUGAUGGAUGGGGAUGCGUCUGAUUAGCUUGUUGGCGGGGUAACGGCCCACCAAGGCGACGAUCAGUAGGGGUUCUGAGAGGAAGGUCCCCCACAUUGGAACUGAGACACGGUCCAAACUCCUACGGGAGGCAGCAGUGAGGAAUAUUGGUCAAUGGACGAGAGUCUGAACCAGCCAAGUAGCGUGCAGGAUGACGGCCCUAUGGGUUGUAAACUGCUUUUANAAGGGAAUAAAACCUCCCACGUGUGGGAGCU
rnacentral:rRNA from 1 species